rnacentral:rRNA from 1 species
UACGUAGGGUCCGAGCGUUGUCCGGAAUUACUGGGCGUAAAGAGCUCGUAGGUGGUUUGUCGCGUUGUUCGUGAAAACUCACAGCUCAACUGUGGGCGUGCGGGCGAUACGGGCAGACUAGAGUACUGCAGGGGAGACUGGAAUUCCUGGUGUAGCGGCGGAAUGCGCAGAUAUCAGGAGGAACACCGGUGGCGAAGGCGGGUCUCUGGGCAGUAACUGACGCUGAGGAGCGAAAGUGUGGGGAGCGAACAGG